UAGGCAGAUGCCAAAGUGGUGGAUGCGCAAGGAGCUCACGAAAAAACAAUGACACUCCUGCUUCCAGCACUAGAAGCUAAAGGAAACAGAAUAUACGGAUUCG
rfam:Candidate divison MSBL1 archaeon SCGC-AAA382A13 AAA382A13_Contig_31_C, whole genome shotgun sequence.